rnacentral:rRNA from 1 species
CGCAGCCGCGGUAAUUCCAGCUCCAAUAGCGUAUAUUAAAGUUGUUGCAGUUAAAAAGCUCGUAGUUGAAUUUCGAGAUCAAUUUGUUGGUCGUGCCUCGGUACGUACUGGCAAUUUUGAUUUCUCCCUUCUGAAGAACCAUGACGUCAUUAAUUUGGUGUCAUGGGGAAUCAGGACCGUUACUUUGAAAAAUUAGAGUGUUUAAAGCAGGCUCGCGCUUGAAUACAUUAGCAUGGAAUAAUGAAAUAGGACGUUUGAUUCUAUUUUGUUGGUUUCUAGGAUCGACGUAAUGAUUAAUAGGGAUAGUUGGGGGCAUUAGUAUUCAAUUGUCAGAGGUGAAAUUCUUGGAUUUAUUGAAGACUAACUACUGCGAAAGCAUUUGCCAAGGAUGUUUUCAUUAAUCAAGAACGAAAGUUAGGGGAUCGAAGACGAUCAGAUACCGUCGUAGUCUUAACCAUAAACUAUGCCGACUAGGGAUCGGAUGAUGUUAAUUUUUAAUGACUCAUUCGGCGCCUUACGG